UAAUUCUCAACCCAUACAUCCUUGUGGUGGAUGGGCUUGGAUUUGGAGGUUAUUGCUGGCUCCUAGCAGUCGGCUCCUCUUGAAUGCAUUAGCUUGAUUCCGUGCGGAUCGGCUCUCGGUGUGAUAAUUGUCUACGCCGUGACCGUGAAGCGUUUGGCGAGCUUCUAGUCGUCCUUCAAGGACAAUCUUACCUGAC
rnacentral:misc_RNA from 1 species